rnacentral:rRNA from 1 species
ACAAAACUUUCCACCACGGAUCUCUUGGUUCUCGCAUCCAUGAAGAGCGCAGCGAAAUGGGAUACCUAGUGGGAAUUGGAGCCCUCGUGAAUCAUCCAGUUCUUGAACGCACAUUGCGCCCCUCGGCAUUCCGGGGGGCAUGCCUGGUUGAGCGUCCUU